AGGAUGAACGCUGGCGGCGUGCCUAACACAUGCAAGUCGAACGAGAAGCGCACCUUCGGGUGCGUGGACAGUGGCGCACGGGUGCGUAACACGUAGCUGACCUGCCCCGAAGACGGGAAUAACUCACGGAAACGUGGGCUAAUGCCCGAUAAGCUCCCGCUCGUUAGAGACGUGGGAGAAAAGCUCUGGCGCUUUGGGAUGGGGCUGCGGUCCAUCAGCUAGAUGGGGAGGUAACGGCUCACCAUGGCAACGACGGAUAGGGGACCUGAGAGGGUGACCCCCCACACUGGAACUGAGACACGGUCCAGACUCCUACGGGAGGCAGCAGUGAGGAAUAUUGCGCAAUGGGCGAAAGCCUGACGCAGCGACGCCGCGUGGAUGAUGGAGGUCUUCGGAUCGUAAAGUCCUUUUCUGCGUGACGAGCAAGGACGGUAGCGCAGGAACAAGUCUCGGCUAACUACGUGCCAGCAGCCGCGGUAAAACGUAGGAGGCAAGCGUUAUCCGGAGUUACUGGGCGUAAAGCGCGUGUAGGCGGUUCGGCAGGUCUGAUGUGAAAGCUCCCAGGCUAAACCGGGAGAGGUCAUUGGAAACCGCCGAGCUAGAGGACGGCAGAGGGGCAUGGAAUUCCGGGUGUAGUGGUGAAAUGCGUAGAGAUCCGGAGGAACACCAGUGGCGAAGGCGGUGCCCUGGGCCGACCCUGACGCUGAGACGCGAAAGCAUGGGGAGCGAACGGGAUUAGAAACCCCGGUAGUCCAUGCCGUAAACGAUGCACACUGGGUGUUCGUAGCGGGAAACCGCUGGGAGUGCCGAAGCCAA
rnacentral:rRNA from 1 species